UGGGGCCUGAGGGGAAAGGGGAAGGGGGCGACGGGAGGCCCGGAGGGCGGGAAAAGGCGGUGGCCUCCCCUCAGCCUCGUGACCCCAAAGGGAAUCGAUACUAUUGAUCGAUCGAUUGAAGCCCCCGGGUCGGGGAGGAGGGGAGCAAACCCCCAGGGGCCAUGAUGGUCUUCUGGCGUUUCUCUGCCAGGGUCUGCCUGGCCCCAUUAAGGGGCUUCGAGGCCCGAAGGGGCCGAGGGGCGGCGGGACGCCGGCCCGAUGAGGCGCCCGCCCUGCGCUUCUCACAGGCUUGGCCGAAGCUGGCGUUGGCCUUGUGGGGGAGCAGAGAGGAUUCUGGGAGGGAGCCACACUCCCCGGCCGGGGCCGCCCCGGCCGGGACCGGCUCGGAGCCCACCGGAGCCCCGCUCCUGGGCCGCCUCCUCCGGCAGCUGGGCCUGGGGCUGCGCCUGGGCCUGCGGGCCUGCGUGCUGCUGCUGAAGUUCGCGCCCCUGCUCUUGGCCUACCCCCUCGCCCGCCUGUCGCCCCGCCUGUCCUCCCUCUGGCUGCGCCUGCUGCUCAAGGCCGCCGAGUCCUCGGGCCCCACCUACAUCAAACUGGGCCAGUGGGCCGGCACCCGGCGCGAUCUCUUCUCGGAGGAGUUCUGCGCCACGUUCUCCCGCCUGCACGUUCGCGCCGCCCCGCACCCCUGGGCCCACACCGAGCUGGUCCUCCGGGGCGCCGUGGGGGAGGACUGGCGGCGGGCCCUCCGCUUCGACAGCGAGGAGCCCGUGGGGGCCGGCUGCGUCGCCCAAGUGUACAAAGCCUACGUCAGCGUUGACCGCCUGGAGGACCCCCGCUCGGGGUCGGGGGCCCGGCCGGGGUCGGGCCUGCGAGGCCUCUUGGGGCGUCUGUGGGCGGGGCAGAAGCUGGAGGGCGCUUGGCCGGAUCCCCCGUCGCCCGAGGCGCAGGGGGCCGGAAGCCCCCCGGGCAGAAACCCCUCGCCACCCCCAGCCUGCGGGGCUGAGCCGGACCACCGGAUCCCGGUGGCCGUCAAGGUCCUGCAUCCCGGCCUGGCUCAAAAAGUCCACAUAGAUUUACUGCUGAUGAAGAUGGGCAGCCGCGUCCUGGGGCUGUUGCCAGGGGUCAAGUGGCUCAGCUUGACGGAGAUCUUGGAGGAGUUUGAGAAGCUCAUGAUUCAACAGAUCGACCUACGCUAUGAAGCCUGGAACCUGGAGCGCUUCCACCACAACUUCCGGCACGUGGACUUCGUCCGGUUCCCCACCCCCCUGCGGCCCUUCGUCACCAGCAGCCUCCUGGUGGAAACUUUUGAAGAAAGCGUGCCCGUCUCCAGCUACCUGCCGUUGGCCGUUCCUCCGGAGCUCAAAAGGAAAAUAGCCAGGCUGGGCAUCGACAUGCUCCUGAAGAUGGUGUUUGUGGACAACCUGGUGCAUGCUGACCUGCACCCCGGGAACAUCCUGGUCCAGGGCGGAGAUAGCCCGGGUGGGAGCAGGGUGGACCGGCCGGGCCCGGCGGGUGCCCGCAAUCCCCCGGUGGCGGCCGCGAAGCCGCCCGCUCCCCCCCUGCGGCUGGUGCUGCUGGACGCGGGCAUCGUCGCGGAGCUGCAGGAGGCCGACCGCGAGAACUUCCGCGCCGUCUUCCGGGCCGUCGUGUUGGGGCAGGGCGAGAGAGUGGCCGAGCUCAUCCUGCACCAUGCUCGGGCCAGCGAGUGCCGCGACGUGGAACGCUUCAAGGCUGAGAUGGCGGACCUGGUGACCCGGGCCCGGGAGAACACCGUCUCCCUGGGCAAGCUCCAGGUGGCUGACCUGCUGUCCAGUGUCUUCAAGCUGCUGAUGACCCACAAGGUGAAGCUAGAGAGCAACUUUGCCUCAAUGGUCUUGGCCAUCAUGGUGCUGGAAGGGCUGGGCCGCUCCCUGGACCCAGGGCUGAACAUCCUGGAGGCCGCCAAGCCUCUCCUCAUCAGAAACUCAACUGCUGCACUCUAGGCGGGGGGCAGGGGAGCAGGAGGUGGGCCUGGAACCUCGUUACCCGUGUCCCUCUCUGGCCACAAGACCCUCUCCCCGGGUCUACCUUCUCCCCGGGCCUCCGCUCUCCACUUCCAGCCCAUCGCUGGCCUCGGGCAGUUCUUUCAUGGUUAAGAACGAGCGAGUACUGGAUCAGCGUGCCGGUGGACAGACGUCGGUUGAGCCCCUACCAGGGGGCCGGGCUCUAUACUGGGGGCUCAGGGUAGGCGCCGGAACCCAAAUGCAGUCCCGAGACCGAUCAUCCAGACUGGAGCUCUCUCCCAUCUUCUCCCUUCCCCCCAAUCGUGGCCAAAGGAUUUUGGAGGAACCGGGCGAGGAGCAAGAACUGCAGAGAAAAUGGUCGAAGCUACCGACGCAGAAAAAUCAGCCAUUUAGAGUCCUUUCCCUGGGCUUAAAAUGGUGGCCGGCUAAACUCUGUCAUGGCCACACUGCCUGCCUUGUAACCUCAGUCCAGCAGCACACCCGGCUCCUGGGAAGAGGAGAAGGAACCACCUUGGUGUGAUUGGAAGGAAACUGCCCCGCAGCACCCCGAUCCUGCCUGAACCAUCUUGGGAGAGUGAAGGCAGAUCCACUUGGAUGAUGAAUUUAUAGACCUCGCUUGGAAAGGAAACUGAAUUUUCCAUUUCUCCAGGGCUUUUGGACGCAGUGUCACCCACACAGUCACCCACCCGCCCACCGUGGGGAUGGGAACCCGCAGGUACCACCAAUCCGAGCCUCGCUCCCACCAGCUACGCACCGGGGCUCAGUGCCUGUGAGGGCCCGGUUCGGUCGGCAGAUGGUAGGAUAUAAAUGAAUGAACAGAAGUGUGCGACUGAAA